rnacentral:rRNA from 1 species
UACGGAAGGCAGCAGUGGGGAAUAUUGCACAAUGGGCGAAAGCCUGAUGCAGCUAUGCCGCGUGUAUGAAGAAGGCCUUAGGGUUGUAAAGUACUUUCAUCGGGGAGGAAAAAACAAAACUAAUAAUUUUAUUUCUUGACGUUACCCGAAAAAGAAGCACCGGCUAACUCCGUGCCAGCAGCCGCGGUAAUACGGAGGGUGCUAGCGUUAAUCAGAAUUACUGGGCGUAAAGAGCACGUAGGUGGUUUUUUAAGUCAGAUGUGAAAUCCCUGGGCUUAACCUGGAACUGCAUUUUGAAACUGAAAUACUAGAGUAUCGUAGAGGGAGGUAGAAUUCUAGGUGUAGCGGUGAAAUGCGUAGAUAUCUGGAGGAAUACCUGUGGCGAAAGCGGCCUCCUAAACGAAUACUGACACUGAGGGUGCGAAAGCGUGGGGAGCGAAACAGGGAUUAGAUACC